UGCCAGGAAGUGGUGCUAUGUUGGCAGCAGCAUAUACCAUCCCCAAGGAAGCUGAAUCUGAGUAAGUGGGAGAUGACAGAGCCAACGCACUGCCUGUGUUAGGGGAGCAACAAAACCCCGAUAGCGAUAUAAAUUAUUGGAACAGUGCUCAUCUGGGGAACUGCAGACAGACAAAGCAGCUCUGAGGAAAUGCAUCCCUGUCAACAGACGUUUGUUUCAGCUGAGGCUUGAAUAACAGCAGAAAUGAAAAACAGAGUAAUCUGGUGAGGAGAAAAUGAACUGCAGUCACGGCAUUUGGGUAGCCAUUAAAGGCACUCACUCUGAUUUGAAUGAAGGAUAUUUCAAUCAGCAGCUGAGUGACACUUUGAUGGGUGUGGAUGAAGUUGUUUUAGGAGUUUUUGCCUUUUCGAGACACGGAGAGGAGGAGUAUGCCCUGUGUGUUCUCGAUGAUGGGAGCACCCGAAGAAAGUUUCCUUCUCCAAAGCUUUUACAUUUGAAUGACCCGUCAUAGUUUUUGGAUGAAGUGUAGUCAACUUGUUUCAUUUUAUUCUUUACCUGGCUUAAUGAAAUUGAAGAGAACACAAAAGCCAGGUAUAGAUUUUCAUAAAAAUGAACCAAGAGUUGUCAAAAAUUAUAAAUAUGAGUAGGAUGCCAAAAAAAGAACUAUCUCAUAGACAUAGAUAAAAAGAUUAAAUGUGUAUGGAAG
rnacentral:lncRNA from 1 species